rnacentral:sRNA from 1 species
CUAAAGAGCCAAGGUUCAGAGAAAGCGAAUGAGUCCGUUUCUUUCUUUUGUUUUGUUUUUCUUUUUCAUCUCAUUUCUUUUCCUUUAUUUUCUCUCUUUUUUCUUCUUCCCUUUUCUUUUUCUUCUUUUUUCUUUUUCUUUCUUUAUAUUCUUUUUCCUUUUGUGCUAAGAAUUAUUAAAGCUUUGAGCAUCACUAAGCUACACACCCAGUCAACACCUGCUCAAAUUUAAUCUCCCUAAUGUUAAGUCUUGAGUCCAAGACUCUCCCUGCUGUAGUAUCAACUGUGGUCUUCCAUUCCAGGCAAGGACUUGAAGCUGAUGUGAAUAGUGCGUCUAGCACACCUGAUCUAUAGGAAGAGUUCCCGACUGGAAGACACGAGCACACACGAGCCCUCUUGCCAUCUGGCAUUCUGCCACUGGCUGGCACAGUACAGAAGCCCUCCCCAGAUGCCAGCACCUUGAGAGUGGACACCCAACCUCAGGAACUGUGAGGAGGAAAUGACUUUUCUUCGCUAACUACUCUACCUGUAGUCAUCUCUCAUGGUGGCACUAAAUAAAGACAUAUUCUCCAACUGUCAAGAUAACCUGAUCUACCAGAUAGAAAGUCUACCGGGAAAGAAUGAGAAAGAUGACGGACAAGGACCAUCACUGGCAUCACUUCAUACUUCUCAUUAGAGAAGAGCUUUGGGCAUUUUAGCCUGGUGAGCACAAAUCUGCCGGAGAGAGAUGGGUCCAUUCUAGACGUGCCAACAUAACAAACUUCCAACCAUGCUAGAUCACAAGUUCGACCCAGGAAAAGAAAGCCCAUGUCAAUGGUGGGCCAGAGAAGGAUACAAACUCCUUGCUGUUUCGUCCCCAGUGUGCUAUCAUUUUUUGAAAAUGGCACGUGGUAUUGUUAUAAGCAUUAAAAAAGGCUGCAUGUGUAACGUGUAAAGUGCUUAG